rnacentral:rRNA from 1 species
AGAGUUUGAUCCUGGCUCAGGAUGAACGCUGGCGGCGUGCUUAACACAUGCAAGUCGAACGAUGAUGGGAGCUUGCUCCUGGAUUAGUGGCGAACGGGUGAGUAACACGUGAGUAACCUGCCCUUAACUCUGGGAUAAGCCUGGGAAACUGGGUCUAAUACCGGAUAUGACUCCUCAUCGCAUGGUGGGGGGUGGAAAGCUUUUUGUGGUUUUGGAUGGACUCGCGGCCUAUCAGCUUGUUGGUGAGGUAAUGGCUUACCAAGGCGACGACGGGUAGCCGGCCUGAGAGGGUGACCGGCCACACUGGGACUGAGACACGGCCCAGACUCCUACGGGAGGCAGCAGUGGGGAAUAUUGCACAAUGGGCGCAAGCCUGAUGCAGCGACGCCGCGUGAGGGAUGACGGCCUUCGGGUUGUAAACCUCUUUCAGUAGGGAAGAAGCGAAAGUGACGGUACCUGCA